GGUGACGGGGAUGAGCUAAGGCUUUUAUUUCCAUCAGUCUGAUUCAUGUGAAGGGGGAUGAAUCCAGACGGCCUCUCGGCAGAAGAUGGUUCAGCAGUCAAG